GUUCCCUGUGAUGUUUCAAACCAUGCUAAUACUGAGGCUCAUCAUUGAUGAAUCUAAUUUUAAUGUUCUGAGGGAACU